GCAUCGAUAGCUCAGCGGCAGAGCGUUUCCUUUACGGGAAAAGGUCGUAGGUUCAAUUCCUGCUCGAUGGC